UACGGGGGGGGCAAGCGUUGUUCGGAAUUACUGGGCGUAAAGGGCUCGUAGGCGGCCAACUAAGUCAGACGUGAAAUCCCUCGGCUUAACCGGGGAACUGCGUCUGAUACUGGAUGGCUUGAAUCCGGGAGAGGGAUGCGGAAUUCCAGGUGUAGCGGUGAAAUGCGUAGAUAUCUGGAGGAACACCGGUGGCGAAGGCGGCAUCCUGGACCAACACUGACGCUGAGGAGCGAAAGCCAGGUGAGCAAACGGG
rnacentral:rRNA from 1 species